CGCCCGCCACUACGCCCGGCUAAUUUUUUGUAUUUUUGGUAGAGGUGGGGUUUCACCGUGUUAGCCAGGAUGGUCUCGAUCUCCUGACCUCAUGAUCUGCCUGCCUCGGUCUCCCAAAGUGCUGGGAUUACAGGCGUGAACCACUGCGCCCAGCCAUGUACCACAUUUUCUUUAUCCAAUUCACUGUUGAUGGGCACCUAGAUUGAUUCCAUGUCUUUGCUCUUGUGAAUAGUGCUGUGGUAAACGUGAGUGCAUGCAUCUUUUUGGUAGAAUGAUUUAUUUUAUUUGGAUAUAUACCCAGUAAGGGGAUUGUUGAGUAGAAUGGUAGUUCUAAGUUCUUUGAAAAAUCUCUAAAUGGCUUUUUUUUUUUUUUUUUUUUUGAGACGGAGUCUUGCUCUGUCGCCCAGGCUGGAGUGCAGUGGCAUGAUCUCGGCUCACUGCAACCUCCACCUCCCUGGUUCAAGCAAUUCCCCUGCCUCAGCCUCCCAAGUAGCUGGGACUACAGGCGUGCACCACCACGCCCAGCUCUUUUUUUUUUUUUUUGUAUUUUUAGUAGAGACAGGGUUUCACCACGUUGGCCAGGCUGGUCACGAACUCCUGACCUCAGGCAAUCCGUCCACCUCUGCCUCCCAAAGUGCUGGGAUUACAGGCAUGAGCCACUGUGCCUGGCCCAAAUUGCUUUUUACAGUGGCUGGACUAAUUUAUAUUCCCACUAACAAUAUAUAAGUGUAGGGAGAUGACUUCUUAACCAAAGACCUGAUGUCUAGGAGUUUGCAGCAAUAAUGCAAAUGACAACAACUGUAUUUAAUCAACUGUUAAUACCACCCUGCUGGUGCUUUCUCCAAAGCUUUCAAGUUGCAGCCUCAGCAGAUAAUGAGGUAUGGGUCGUAAUUUUAAGAAAACCACCACCAGAUGAAGAAGCUUGUGUCUGAGGUUAGAAGUGGAAACAGGGAUAGCAGGCAGGAUUGAGGGAAACUGCCCCGGGCUUAGGAUGAGACCAGAGACAGGUUGGCUGCUGUGCGGGAGGGAAGCCACUCGGCUGGAUAGGAUGAUGUAAAGUGCUCCCACAGCGUCUUGUCCACAGGGGGUGCACCACCAGCAUCCUCCUUGGAAAUGCUGGCCACAGGUGCCCUGUGUAGAAGCACAAGUGAGUUGGUGAAGAGCGGAUCCCCACCACCAAGGACUGUGUGGAAGGAAUGAGUCCACAUCCCUGACUGAUUUGGCCGACUCCGUGUGUUCCCUGGGCUGAAGUGAGUGUCCUGCUGGACUCUACAAGGCCACCCUCAGCGUGUCAGUUUCUGGGAAAAAGGCCCUUCCUAGGCAUCACCUCUGGCCGAAGCCUGCCAUCCUAACCUUUGGCUCCUGGCUUCCAGACUUUCUGGGAAGAGAAGGGAAAGGAUUCCUGAUGAAGAGGAUCUAAGUCCCCUGAGGAGCCUGCAGAGCUAUUUCAGCCACACCAGUGUCACCUGAAUGGAUUUCUGAAACUCUUCUCUGGCAACUUCCAGUAGUUUCCAAGCAACCCAGAAGAACAGGUCUCAUGACUUUAGAGGACUCAUCUUUUUUUUUUUUUUUUUUCCUGGAAAAGCAUAGUCCCUGAUUUGAUAUCCAGUCUCAUUCACAACCUUGCACUGUGUCCUUGGGCCAAAGCUUUGGGCCCACUGAGGAAAAUCAAAAGAAUGAGCUGCCACCAAUUCCCAAAGAUACAUCUCCAAGAGGAAGUGGGGCAGCAGCACCGCCACCGGAACAAGUGUGGGUCUCUCAAGGCUCCAUGAUCUCCAGGCACACGUUCACGAUGCACUGGAUCUCCAGC
rnacentral:lncRNA from 1 species